rnacentral:rRNA from 1 species
AACGACUCUCGGCAACGGAUAUCUCGGCUCUCGCAUCGAUGAAGAACGUGGCGAAAUGCGAUACUUGGUGUGAAUUGCAGAAUCCCGUGAACCAUCGAGUCUUUGAACGCAAGUUGCGCCCAAAGCCUUCCGGCCGAGGGCACGUCUGCCUGGGCGUCACGC